AUACGGAGGGUGCAAGCGUUAAUCGGAAUUACUGGGCGUAAAGCGCGCGUAGGCGGCUACUUAAGUCAGAUGUGAAAUCCCCGGGCUCAACCUGGGAACUGCAUCUGAUACUGGGUAGCUAGAGUUUUGGAGAGGGAAGUAGAAUUUCAGGUGUAGCGGUGAAAUGCAUAGAGAUCUGAAGGAAUACCAGUGGCGAAGGCGACUUCCUGGCCAAAAACUGACGCUGAGGUGCGAAAGCGUGGGUAGCAAACGGGAUUAGAAACCCCAGUAGUCC
rnacentral:rRNA from 1 species